UACGGUAGGUGGCAAGCGUUGUCCGGAUUUACUGGGCGUAAAGAGCGCGCAGGCGGUCAGAUAAGUCGAAUGUGAAAGCCCCCGGCUCAACUGGGGAGGGUCAUUCGAUACUGUUCGACUCGAAGGCAGGAGAGGGAAGUGGAAUUCCCGGUGUAGUGGUGAAAUGCGUAGAUAUCGGGAGGAACACCAGUGGCGAAGGCGACUUCCUGGCCUGUUCUUGACGCUGAGGCGCGAAAAGCUAGGGGAGCAAACGGG
rnacentral:rRNA from 1 species